GCCGGGACCCCAGCUCACACCCACCUGGUCCUGGGUGCGGGGGGUUGCUGAGGGUAAGGGAGCAAAUCAGUGCGUCCAUCCCCCACGGCCGGCGGCGCUGUGUCUUCCCUGCGCCCAGCACACACCGGCUCCAGUCUCCGAUCAGCUGGCGGCGUCGUGACGCACAAGCCGCGAUUGCACCGCCCAGAGCCAAUCACCGCCCACUGUUGGGCAGCGUGACCACACCCACUUGGGGGCGCCAGCGCUUCGCCCAGGUCCCGCCUCUCCGGCCGUCUUAGCUCUGAUUGGCAAGGAGGCCACCCCCUUGCCCGGCGGAGCUGCGCUAGGCCACGCCCACCAGCUCAGGAGCUCGCCAAUACGUGAAAGGGUGUGGCUGAGCCCUCCGCCUAAGGCCUCUUGCUUUGAAGAGCGCUACGUCAAACCAGAGUCCUAAAGAGCAGAAGGAAGUGAAGGCGCGUGUGUUUGCAGUGCACACUGGUCAAUGUAGUUCUCGGUCUGACACCUCGUUCCCAGAAUCCAGCGCGCUCUAGUAUGUCUCGUCCCAGUCGUAGACAGAUUCUCUCAAGCAGCAACCUCCUAACAAGAUUCAUAGUACAGUCUUCACCUGAGGGUAGAAGCAAGACUUGUGGACGGAAACUAGGGGAUGGGUCAUGCCAAAGUGUCAACUGGCCCCCGAUUGAGUGUGAGGGUAACUGAGCCGGAAGGAUGAGCCUGGGGAGUGAGAUAGUUCCUCUGUAUUAAAUACGGGCUCCACGAAGUAACCGCCCUGGUUCCUAGGAGCUCCCGAAUUCUCGGCCUGUGUUCUGAACAUUGUGCCUUUAAGGAAACUUCCUGCCUCCUACCUCGAGAUUCUGAGCUUGGAACAAGAGUUAUUUCCUGUCAGCUCAGACCCACCUUCUCAGGUCUAGAAGGGGGCCUGUAUUGGGGAAGUCCAGAACCUUGGCUGGCUGGGUGUGUGAGUGCUCCAGGAAUGGAUGCUGGGGAAGGUCCAGUGAAGCAGCAAACCAAACCAGGAGAAGAGAAAUGUCUGUGGAAAGCAAGCCUCCUGGGAUCAGCAAGAACUAACCUCACUCAGCAUGGGCUGACUGCCUGGGCAGCUGCAGCUUCCCUCCCUGACUAUCCAAGCCAGGAAACUCAAUAUUGAGGUUGGCGAAAGGGAGUGGUUAAUUUGGUCCCGGAUUCCCCAAAGCCCAAUGGUGGUUGGGUUGGGAUUCUGGGGGAAAUUUGGGAAUUGAGCUGUUACAGAGUAUUAUACCAAGAUGUGGCCUACAUUAGAUUUAACUGGGGUGCUUGUUAAAAAUUCAGAUUCCUGGGACCCCUGCGUGGCCAGCAGUUGAGCAUCUGCCUUUGGCUCAGGGCGUGAUCCUGGGUCCAGGGAUCCAGUCCCGCAUUGAGCUCCCUGCGAGGAGCCUGUGUCUCCCUCUGCCUGUGUCUCUGCCUCUCUGUGUGUGUGUCUCUCACAAAUAAAUAAACAAAAUCUUAAAAAAAAAAAAAAAAA
rnacentral:lncRNA from 12 species